UACGUAGGGUGCGAGCGUUGUCCGGAAUUAUUGGGCGUAAAGGGAUUGUAGGCGGUUCGUCACGUCGAAAGUGAAAACUCAGGGCUCAACCCUGAGCCUGCUUUCGAUACGGGCGAACUAGAGGUAUGCAGGGGAGAACGGAAUUCCUGGUGGAGCGGUGGAAUGCGCAGAUAUCAGGAGGAACACCGGUGGCGAAGGCGGUUCUCUGGGCAUUACCUGACGCUGAGAAUCGAAAGCGUGGGGAGCAAACAGG
rnacentral:rRNA from 1 species